CUUAAACGAGCAAGGCGGGAAAAUAUCCCGAGGAACAAAAUCAUUUCGUGCAUGAGGAGGAAACUUAAUGACCGCUUCUAUCACCCUCUCUUGAACUUACUAACUUUUUUAAAGGAGGUUAUUGUUUUCCAAUAUUUAAUUCUCUUCGUGGAAAAAUAUAUCUUGUGGAAUUCCUUAGACAAUCUACGACAUACUUUUGAGGUUGCCAUUGGAUAUUCCUGGAUUUCUUUCUCUCAAAGGAUCAAUCAGGAUGAAUUGUUGGGUUUUUGACUGGGUAUAUCUCGUUCUAUGUCUCGUAAUAUACGAGACCGUUGGAGUUCCCCACAAACCCGCCCUUCGUUUCCCCCGUCAAAUACCAAAUCCAGAGCUAUUUCAAGGCCGGAUAAUCAUCGGAUCAACGGCUUUUACCGAGCCGAUUAGCAACAGCAAAUGUGCUCAAGAAGUCGCAUCUUCGGAUACCGCGUUCCCCGGGUCAAUGUACAGAAAUUGUACAAUGGCUCCGAAAACGACAC